AGUUCUUCCACUGAUCUAAAGGUGACGUGUCACACGGAAAGCUUGGUUUCAAUUUUUUUUCCUUCGACAUUUUUUUUUCUUCGACAUUUUUUUUUCUUCUUCUCUCGCAAAUGGCGACAAGGCGAAACGGCGACUACGACUACAUCGCCGAUGGAUCCUCCUCCGCCGCGAAACCCUAUCCAUGAUUCUGAUCCUGAACCAAACACCGUGUCGAUUUCUCCAAGCGACGAAUCCUCAACCAUAACGGGAGUCGCGUCGAUGAACCCUCCACCUCCCAGAAACCCUAACCAACCUGAUUUGAAGACAACUGAAGUAGUAGAACCCAAGCUAAUUGAAGAAUCUAAGGACGAAUCUGUCUCUAUAGACGCGAACCCAAGCUAAUUGAAGAAUCUAAGGAAGAAUCUAAUUGUAAUUCGUAUGUUUUUUCUCUCUCUUUGCAGCUAUGAGAAAGGAGCUUACUUGUUUAGACGUGAUGAUAUCUGUGAUUUUGCUCUUGAGCAUCCCUCAAUUUCACGGUUUCAUGCAGAUUUACAGUCAAAGCUACGAUUGAAAUGAAGGAGGAUUCUCGGAUAACGGUUUUGGAAUGUCUCGGGGAUCCACAUUCUAAGAAGAAACUCGCAGCCGAUAUAAAUGAUGAUGGUAACAGGUGAACAGGCUGUAUGAUCUUUAUCCAGUAACAGGUGAUCAAAUCGUCUUAUUUUGUUCAUGUUCAUAGGCUUUGAGGAUUAGUUUUUGAUGUAAGCUCUACCUAGGGAGCUCAAAAGGGUAGCCUCUGUCGCAAAAUACUCAUCUAUGUGUAGCGUCAGUUGUAAGUAAAGUAUGGUUACCACUUCUCUCUUUGGUUUCUCAUUGUAACAGUCACUCAGUGUGUGGAUUUAAAUAAAAUGAUAUUGGUAAAGAUAUAUCCAGUAGAGAGUUAAAAGGAUUCAAUGUUUUUAAACUGCUCAUUCUCCUUAUGUAGAACUAGUAGAAAUCACUGAGUUACAAAAUGAGGUUUGUCUUGGCCUUAACAUCAGUUUCCUGAAACCAACACAACGUUGAUCUGUGAUACAUACAUUGCCCCAAUAUUCUAUGAUACAUUUCAAUGUGUGAUGAUGA